UGAGGAAUAUUGGUCAAUGGGCGGAAGCCUGAACCAGCCAAGUCGCGUGAGGGAAGACGGUCCUAUGGAUUGUAAACCUCUUUUGUCGGGAGCAAAGCUGCUCACGUGUGAGCGGAAGGAGAGUACCCGAAGAAAAGCAUCGGCUAACUCCGUGCC
rnacentral:rRNA from 1 species